rnacentral:miRNA from 1 species
GUGUUCACUGUGUUAGCCUUGGU